UGAGUAACACGUGGGUGAUCUGCCCUGCACUUUGGGAUAAGCCUGGGAAACUGGGUCUAAUACCGAAUAGGACCGCGCUCUUCAUGGGGUGUGGUGGAAAGCUUUUGCGGUGUGGGAUGGGCCCGCGGCCUAUCAGCUUGUUGGUGGGGUAAUGGCCUACCAAGGCGACGACGGGUAGCCGGCCUGAGAGGGUGACCGGCCACACUGGGACUGAGAUACGGCCCAGACUCCUACGGGAGGCAGCAGUGGGGAAUAUUGCACAAUGGGCGCAAGCCUGAUGCAGCGACGCCGCGUGAGGGAUGACGGCCUUCGGGUUGUAAACCUCUUUCAAUAGGGACGAAGCGCAAGUGACGGUACCUAUAGAAGAAGGACCGGCCAACUACGUGCCAGCAGCCGCGGUAAUACGUAGGGUCCGAGCGUUGUCCGGAAUUACUGGGCGUAAAGAGCUCGUAGGUGGUUUGUCGCGUUGUUCGUGAAAACUCACAGCUUAACUGUGGGCGUGCGGGCGAUACGGGCAGACUAGAGUACUGCAGGGGAGACUGGAAUUCCUGGUGUAGCGGUGGAAUGCGCAGAUAUCAGGAGGAACACCGGUGGCGAAGGCGGGUCUCUGGGCAGUAACUGACGCUGAGGAGCGAAAGCGUGGGGAGCGAACAGGAUUAGAUACCCUGGUAGUCCACGCCGUAAACGGUGGGUACUAGGUGUGGGUUUCCUUCCUUGGGAUCCGUGCCGUAGCUAACGCAUUAAGUACCCCGCCUGGGGGAGUACGGCCGCAAGGCUAAAACUCAAAGGAAUUGACGGGGGCCCGCACAA
rnacentral:rRNA from 1 species